GACGGAAGGUGCAAGCGUUGCUCGGAAUCACUGGGCGUAAAGGGUGCGUAGGCGGCUUGGUGGGUCUGGUGUGAAAGCCCCGGGCUCAGCCCGGGAAGGGCGCUAGAAACUGCCGAGCUCGAGUGCCGGAGGGGAGAGUGGAAUUCCUGGUGUAGCGGUGAAAUGCGUAGAUAUCUGGAGGAAUACCGGUGGCGAAGGCGGCAUCCUGGACCGGCAUUGACGCUGAGGAGCGAAAGCCAGGGGAGCAAACGGG
rnacentral:rRNA from 1 species